rnacentral:rRNA from 1 species
UACAGAGGUCUCAAGCGUUGUUCGGAUUCAUUGGGCGUAAAGGGCGCGUAGGCGGCUGGGGAAGUCGGUGGUGAAAGCUCGUGGCUCAACUACGAGCGGCCAACGAUACUCCUCGGCUCGAGCACUGUAGAGGCAGGUGGAAUUCCGGGUGUAGCGGUGGAAUGCGUAGAGAUCCGGAAGAACACCGGUGGCGAAGGCGGCCUGCUGGACAGUAGCUGACGCUGAGGCGCGACAGCGUGGGGAGCAAACAGG